rnacentral:rRNA from 1 species
ACGGCAGCGCGGGGCAACCUGGCGGCGAGUGGCUUUNCGGGUGAGUAAUAUAUCNGCAACGUACCCAGNAAGUGGGGGAUAACGUAGCGAAAGUUACGCUAAUACCGCAUACGAUCUACGGAUGAAAGUGGGGGACCUUCGGGCCUCAUGCUUUUGGAGCGGCCGAUAUCUGAUUAGCUAGUUGGUGAGGUAAAGGCUCACCAAGGCGACGAUCAGUAGCUGGUCUGAGAGGACGACCAGCCACACUGGAACUGAGACACGGUCCAGACUCCUACGGGAGGCAGCAGUGGGGAAUUUUGGACAAUGGGCGCAAGCCUGAUCCAGCAAUGCCGCGUGAGUGAAGAAGGCCUUCGGGUUGUAAAGCUCUUUUGUCAGGGAAGAAACGGCUGCGGCUAAUAUCCGCGGCUAAUGACGGUACCUGAAGAAUAAGCACCGGCUAACUACGUGCCAGCAGCCGCGGUAAUACGUAGGGUGCAAGCGUUAAUCGGAAUUACUGGGCGUAAAGCGUGCGCAGGCGGUUUUGUAAGUCUGUCGUGAAAGCCCCGGGCUCAACCUGGGAAUUGCGAUGGA